rnacentral:rRNA from 1 species
AUUGAACGCUGGCGGUAGGCCUAACACAUGCAAGUCGAGCGGCUGAAGAGAACUUGCUUCUGGAUUCAGCGGCCGACGGGCGAGCAAUGCCUAGGAAUCUCCCAGGUAGUGUUGGAUAACGUGCGGACAUGGGCGAUCAUACCGCAAACCCCCAGACGGACUAAGUGGGGGAGCUUCGGACCUUACGCCAUCACACGAGCCGAGGUCGGAUUAGCUAGUUGGUGGGGUAAAGGCCUACCAAGGCGACGAUCCGUAACUGGUCUGAGAGGAUGAUCAGUCACACUGGAACUGAGACACGGUCCAGACUCCUACGGGAGGCAGCAGUGGGGAAUAUUGGACAAUGGGCGCAAGCCUGAUCCAGCCAUGCCGCGUGUGUGAAGAAGGUCUUCGGAUUGUAAAGCACUUUUGGUUGGAAGGAAGGGCAGUAAGUUAAUACCUUGCUGUUUUGACGUUACCAACAGAAUAAGCACCGGCUAACUUCGUG